AAAAAAUUAUCGAAUGCCUACUGUGUGUUAAGGGUUGAGAGUACACUAUCUUGUUUGAUCCCUGUGAUACUGCUAUCAAAUAUUUAUUAUUAUUUUUCUUGAAAAUAGAAGGAAGCCAUUCUCAGAGUAGCUUAAACCAAAAUCUCACAAUAAGUAGAAUUCAAACUCAGAGCUGAUUGGAAGCCUCGUUCUAUUUAUUACAGUGUGUUGGCUAUAGUGUGAUGAAUUUCAUACAAGUGAAAUUUGAAAUUCGGGUAGGGCACCAUGAAGAAAUGUCUGGAAGACAGUUUAAGAAGGAUGAGAGUCAGAAAUAUAGAUUUGGGAAUGUGGUGGCUUGAUUGCUAUAACGACCCUGCUAUUGAUGUAGUUUGAUGGGGCCUUCCUGCAUUGAUCCAGGGCUUGUCCGUAUGGCUUGCUUUGCAGUGGGACAGCAGCACAUGUGAGGAGAGCAGAGGCUUGCAAUGUCGAAGAUGUGCAUUGAUUUUACUACCUGUGUGCUUUCAGAACCUUGUGCAGCUAGGGGAACAAACCCAGCCUAGGUGGGUAGGUGAUAAUGGAUACACAGCCUAGUUGCCUUUGUGGUCUCAGCUGACAGCCAGGCAACCCCCAGAAGCAAGGGUUCCCGGUGGGACUGGCAACUCCCUGCAAACGCAUGAGUAAGCCCAGCCCAGCCUACCAGAAGAAUUGCACAGUUGAUCCCAUUCAAUUUUUCUGACCCAUAGAAUUCUGAGCUAAAUAGAUGGUUAUUACUUUAAGCCACCAGGUUUUGGGGUGGUUUGUUAUGAAGCAAUAAGUCAUUGAUGCAGAAAGCCAUUGUAUGAAUGGAGUAGUUGCAGGCUUUGCAGAUUUGAGAGUGAAUGAAGUCACCAAAUAAGACAAAUGGAAAAGAACACUGGUGUGUCAGUGAUGAGUAGAAAGCUCAGCUAUUUUGCCAGGUGGUUUUAGAAAACAAAAAAAUCUUCAGAUUUCAGGAAAUGAGGACUGUCUCAUCAUCUGAUCAAGGAACAAGUGCAAGGAUAGGAAGAAUGUGCUCGGAAUAAGAUGGUUUACAUGAGUCUUUGUGCUUCUUCAGGAAUCAUCAGCUGAUUUCAGCAGGCCCUGUGGACCUUAUCACCUGGAGGGAGCUCUGUGUGCUAAAAAGGAAUGAAUAGAGUAAGAUGCCUCCCUCCACCAUCUAACAAAAAAGGGCAAUAACUGAAC